UCUGAUUAAACCUAUGCUCUCAACUUUUGCUCGUUUUGCUGACACUGAAGGUACUUAAAGAAACACUUGAGGAAGAGCAAGUGAAGAUGGAUGAAGCAGCGGCUUCCGUGCACCUCUCAGAAUAGAUCCCAGGGCUCCAUGUGAUGCAAGCUGAUGAUUUCAAAUAAGAAUCUGGGGGAGCAAGGCGUGGUUGCACAGCCUGCUGAUGUCCAGAGCAGCCUGAUGACAGGCUUUGACACGGACUUGAACAAAGGCUCCAGACCAAGGACCGUACUCCAGACUCACAGCUUUGGGGCUGGCAUUAUGCUCAAGGUUAAAGGAAUAACUCAGCUGGGUCUGGUUAUGGAGAGGCAGAUCAUCCUGCUUCCUCCUUCCUGUCACACACUACAUGUGCUUCAAUCUGUUUGUCUCUGGCUGAGAAAUAGGCAGUGCACACUCAAGCAGAGGGCUGGGCAAAAACACUUCCCCUGACAACCAGGACAUGGAGAGUAGAGGGCUGAGAGCUCCCCUUGACCUGCUAAUGGAGGUAAGAGCCUCACUUAUUACCCUGUCUUCACGUGGAUUUCAUCUCACGUGCGUUACCGUAAA